GACGUAGGGUGCGAGCGUUGUUCGGAAUUACUGGGCGUAAAGCGCACGUAGGCGGCUUUGUAAGUUAGAGGUGAAAGCCCGGGGCUCAACUCCGGAAUUGCCUUUAAGACUGCAUCGCUAGAAUUGUGGAGAGGUAAGUGGAAUUCCGAGUGUAGAGGUGAAAUUCGUAGAUAUUCGGAAGAACACCAGUGGCGAAGGCGACUUACUGGACACAUAUUGACGCUGAGGUGCGAAAGCGUGGGGAGCAAACAGG
rnacentral:rRNA from 1 species